UACGGAGGGUGCGAGCGUCGUCCGGAAUCAUUGGGCGUAAAGGGCGCGUAGGUGGCCCUGGUCAGCGUGCGGUGAAAGCUCGGGGCUCAACCCCGAGUCGGCCGUGCGAACUGCCGGGCUCGAGCACUGUAGAGGCAGGCGGAAUUCCGGGUGUAGCGGUGGAAUGCGUAGAGAUCCGGAAGAACACCGGUGGCGAAGGCGGCCUGCUGGGCAGUGGCUGACACUGAGGCGCGACAGCGUGGGGAGCAAACAGG
rnacentral:rRNA from 1 species